rnacentral:rRNA from 1 species
GGACUACCGGGGUAUCUAAUCCUGUUUGCUCCCCACGCUUUCGCACCUCAGCGUCAAUACAUGUCCAGUCAGCCGCCUUCGCCACUGGUGUUCUUCCGAAUAUCUACGAAUUUCACCUCUACACUCGGAAUUCCACUGACCUCUCCAUGAUUCAAGCGAUGCAGUCUAAAAGGCAAUUCCAGAGUUGAGCUCUGGGCUUUCACCUCUUACUUACAAAGCCGCCUACGUGCGCUUUACGCCCAGUAAUUCCGAAUAACGCUAGCUCCCUCCGUAUUACCGCGGCUGCUGGCAC